CGAAAUAAAAUUUUGGGGUGGCAUCGGUUUGGCUCCGUUCAGUAUUCGGUAACUAAACAAAAAAAAAGGACACCGAACUGCUACCGAAACGGAAUUCCCGCCAGUCCAGUUCCAGUUCGAAUUUUCGGUUCUAAACCUUAUUAAAAAAAAAAAUUAAAAGCAGCAACGAGUGGCACAGUUGCAGACAUGACGGCGAAGGCGUGGACUGAUGGUGUUCGCCGAUGAGGAAUUAUGGUUGGUAGGUUAAACAUUUGAGAUUGAGAUUUGUGAGGAGACUAGGGUUUGUGAUAGAAAAGGGAAUUUGAGAGGAUCUUGGUUUUGGG
rnacentral:lncRNA from 1 species